UAAUAAUGGCGGCUCUGUCUGCUAAAUGCAUGCACUUGGCAAGGCAACUGGUUGAAGUACUGACGGGGUUUACUCCGGAUGAAGAGAAUUAUCAACGUAGACCUACUACCGAGUUUGUCCUCUCAAAUUUCAAGUAUCCGGCAUCGUUUUCUGAGUGUGAAUAGCAACAACACAAAGAGAAAACUUUCAGAUCUGGCAACAAAGUUUAGAGUUCAUUCUCUUCCAGAGAGAGCUGAAUGGCUUGAGAAAUAAAUGUGUAGAUGACUUUUUAAAGCUCUCACUAUUUGAAUCUUUCUCAGAGUCUGAGAAUCAUUAUGCGAUACUGUCAUUCCUUCUCUGUCUCUCUCAAUCUCCAACAAGUCAUACUUCUUUCACUGUUCCUCAGUCUGAUCCUCCUCCUCUUCCUCUGGCUCAAGAUGGUCGUCCUUUUGAUUGGGGGCGCUACCUAAUGGAGGGCUCUUUUGAAGAAUAUGAAUCAUCUAGUGAUGACAGUGAAUUCAUUCCUUGCAGUGAUGAGGAUCUCCCAUUAUCAUCACAUGAACUCUCACACGACCUCAAGUCACAUGAUCAGUCACAUGAUUUGGCUAUUGAGACA